rnacentral:rRNA from 1 species
AUUGAACGCUGGCGGCAUGCCUUACACAUGCAAGUCGAACGGCAGCACGGACUUCGGUCUGGUGGCGAGUGGCGAACGGGUGAGUAAUGUAUCGGAACGUACCCUUCAGUGGGGGAUAACUAUCCGAAAGGAUAGCUAAUACCGCAUAUUCUCUGAGGAGGAACGCGGGGGAUCGCAAGACCUCGCGCUGAUGGAGCGGCCGAUAUCAGAUUAGCUAGUUGGUGGGGUAAAGGCCUACCAAGGCGACGAUCUGUAGCGGGUCUGAGAGGAUGAUCCGCCACACUGGGACUGAGACACGGCCCAGACUCCUACGGGAGGCAGCAGUGGGGAAUUUUGGACAAUGGGGGCAACCCUGAUCCAGCCAUGCCGCGUGAGUGAAGAAGGCCUUCGGGUUGUAAGCUCUUUCGGCCGGGAAGAAAUCGCGUGAGUUAAUACCUUGCGUGGAUGACGGUACCGGAAUAAGAAGCACCGGCUAACUACGUGCCAGCCGCCGCAGUAA